rnacentral:rRNA from 1 species
GCGCACCAGUCGCGAAGCGCGACGGGUUACCCGAGUGCCGUCCGCUGAGGACGGCUUUGCCCAGUGUAGCCAGCUGGGCGAAUAAGGAGAGGGCAGGUCUGGUGUCAGCCGCCGCGGUAAUACCAGCUCUCCGAGUGGUGGGGACGCUUAUUGGGCCUAAAGCGAUCCGUAGCCGGUACUGGCAAGUCCCCUUGUUAAAUCCAACGAUUCAAUCGUUGGACUGCAAGGG